rnacentral:tRNA from 1 species
UGGGCUAUGGCCAAGUGGAUGGUAGCGAACUCAGAACCCGCUAAUGUUGGUUCGAAUCCAACUAGCCCAA